rnacentral:rRNA from 1 species
UACGUAGGGGGCAAGCGUUGUCCGGAUUUAUUGGGCGUAAGGAGCGUGUAGGCGGCCUGACAAGUCUGCUGUGAAAACUCGAGGCUCAACCUCGAGAUGUCGGCGGAAACUGUCUGGCUAGAGUCCGGAAGAGGAGAGUGGAAUUCCUGGUGUAGCGGUGAAAUGCGCAGAUAUCAGGAAGAACACCUAUGGCGAAGGCAGCUCUCUGGGACGGUACUGACGCUGAGACGCGAAAGCGUGGGGAGCGAACAGG